UCUCACUAUCUUUACUCAAGUACCUCCCCUUGUCUUCCAUGUUAAACUUCUUUCUUACGUCUUUGGCCCUAUUAAUUUUUAUCUCCUUAUUCAGACACUGAGUAUUCACCUGCUGGUUUGCUUUCCUAUUAUCCAGAUUGUCAGGGUUAGUUUCCCUAAUAACUAGAGGCACAUUGUAAUGAGGAGAAUUUUUAUUGUAAUCCCAAAUGUUCAACUUAUGGGAGAUGUUGUUAUCAUAAUUCCCUCGGCUAUUGACAUAGCCACUACCACUGCCAUAUUUCCCUUCUCAACCAUCCACUAAGGUAAUUCUUUGAUCUUCUUCUUUAAUGUUGCGAAGAUGAUUAUUUAUAAAGGUGUUUACCAUAAAUUGUAUUUGAUUAUAGGCAUGUAUGUUAUAUUGGCUAACCCUCCCCCCCUGUUUUCCAAUGGUACGCCUUCCUUCUCCCUUUAUCGACUUUUCUAUAUUUGUUGUUCAUAUUAUCGCCUCCAUAGUUGAUAUAAAGGUGUUGAUUGUAGGAAUUCUACCAGAUUUUAUCAGUACUCGCCAUUUUGUUCCUACCCUCGUUGAAG
rnacentral:lncRNA from 1 species